AGCAUGGUCUUAGCUUGCUAAGGCCGAUGGCGACCGGCGCACGGGUGAGUAACACGUAUCCAACCUGCCGUCUACUCUUGGACAGCCUUCUGAAAGGAAGAUUAAUACAAGAUGUUAUCAUGAGUAAGCAUUUUCGCAUGAUUAAAGGUAUUCCGGUAGACGAUGGGGAUGCGUUCCAUUAGAUAGUUGGUGGGGUAACGGCCUACCAAGGCUACGAUCGGUAGGGGUUCUGAGAGGAAGGCCCCCACAAUGGGACUGAGACACGGCCCAUACUCC
rnacentral:rRNA from 1 species